rnacentral:lncRNA from 1 species
UGAGGACUCCAGGGGGACAAGAAAGUUGUAUGGGGUCAGAGAUAAGAGGCAACCGAUGCCACAGAAGCACGUUCUGUGGUUAACUUACUCUUGUGUUAUCCUCACAUGCCACUGAAACACAUUUUUUCUUAUGUUACACUGUUACACGUGCUGUAACCCUGAAAGCACAGUAUGUAUGAAAAGGUCGUCCUUUUGCUUAUUUUAGCAGCAGUGUUACUAUCUAUUCAUUGCACUGUGGACCCCUGGUUCCUGUACUGUGACAAGCAGGGACUAAUUGCUCUCUGCUCAUCUUCUCCACCAGUGAAGAUUUUGUAGGCCAUCUUGCAGAAGUUUUCUGUGCUGCUGUCAUGCCUGGGCCGGCUUUUUCGACUGGCGGGCUCCAAGAUACAAAUUUGCAUUUGGCACCCAGGAAUAUCCUGCUUCCAAGAAAGCUGGGUAAGUACUCUUUAUCUGUCAGCUCUUCUCCAUGUUGUUGCCUAUUUUUAUCUAACUGUGGGGAAAAGGUGGGAUUCCUGACAAAGGAUUUCAGACAUGUCAGCAAAACUAAAGCUGUAACAAGUCAGCUCUGGCCUGUAAAAAGCUUUCUUGGGCUUGCAGCUCUCCUAUUCGGACCUCGUGAUCCCUAG